rnacentral:rRNA from 1 species
CCUACGGGAGGCAGCAGUGAGGAAUAUUGGUCAAUGGGCGCAAGUCUGAACCAGCCAUGCCGCGUGCAGGACGACGGCUCUAUGGGUUGUAAACUGCUUUUGUACGAGGAUAAAGUCAGCUACGCGUGUCUUUCUGAAAGUAUCGUCCGAAUAAGGAUCGGCUAACUCCGUGCCAGCAGCCGCGGUAAUACGGAGGAUUCGAGCGUUUUCCGGAUUGAUUGGGGUUAAAGGGUGCGUAGGCGGUGUGAUAAGUUAGUGGUGAAAGACCGAGGCUCAACUGCGGAAUUGCAAGUGAUACUGGUAGUCUAGAGAGUAGUUGAGGUAGGCGGAAUGUGUGGUGUAGCGGUGAAAUGCUUAGAGAUCAUACAGAACACCGAUUGCGAAGGCAGCUUACCAAGCUACCGCUGACGUUGAGGCACGAAAGCGUGGGGAGCAAACAGGAUUAGAUACCCGUGUAGUC